rnacentral:rRNA from 1 species
CCUACGGGUGGCAGCAGUGGGGAAUAUUGGGCAAUGGGCGCAAGCCUGACCCAGCAACGCCGCGUGAAGGAAGAAGGCUUUCGGGUUGUAAACUUCUUUUAAGAGGGAAGAGCAGAAGACGGUACCUCUUCAAUAAACCACGGCUAACUACGUGCCAGCAGCCGCGGUAAUUCGUUGGUGGGAAGCGUUGUCCGGAUUUACUGGGUGUAAAGGGAGGGUAGCCGGGCUGACAAGUCAGAUGUGAAAUUCCGGGGCUCAACCCCGGAGCUGCAUUUGAAACUGGUUGUCUUGAGUAUCGGAGAGGCAGGCGGAAUUCCUAGUGUAGCGGUGAAAUGCGUAGAUAUUAGGAGGAACACCAGUGGCGAAGGCGGCCUGCUGGACGACAACUGACGUUGAGGCGCGAAAGCGUGGGGAGCAAACAGGAUUAGAUACCCUUGUAGUC